CCCUUAGAUGUUCUGGGCCGCACGCGCGCUACACUGACGAAGUCAGCGAGCAUGUCCUACGCCGACAGGUGCGGGGAAUCUUGUCAAACUUCGUCGUGAUGGGGAUUGAUUAUUGAAAUUCUUGAUCAUCAACGAGGAAUUCCUAGUAAGCGCAAGUCAGCAGCUUGCGUUGAUUACGUCCCUGCCCUUUUUACACACCGCCCGUCGCUACUACCGAUUGAAUGGUUUAGUGAGAUCUUCGGAUUGGCGCCACUGCGGCUCAGCAAUGGGCUCGGUGGAUGCCGAAAAGUUGAUCAAACUUGAUCAUUUAGAGGAAGUAAAAGUCGUAACA
rnacentral:rRNA from 1 species